rnacentral:rRNA from 1 species
UACGUAGGGGGCAAGCGUUGUCCGGAAUCAUUGGGCGUAAAGAGCGUGUAGCGGCCCGGUAAGUCCGCUGUGAAAGUCCAGGGCUCAACCCUGGGAUGCCGGUGGAUACUGUCGGGCUCGAGUCCGGAAGAGGAGUGUGGAAUUCCUGGUGUAGCGGUGAAAUGCGCAGAUAUCAGGAGGAACACCAAUGGCGAAGGCAGCACUCUGGGACGUGACUGACGCUGAGACGCGAAAGCGUGGGGAGCAAACAGG